UACGUAGGGCGCAAGCGUUGUCCGGAAUUAUUGGGCGUAAAGAGCUCGUAGGCGGCUUGUCGCGUCUGUUGUGAAAGCCCCGGGGCUUAACCCCGGGUCUGCAGUGGAUACGGGCAGGCUAGAGGCAGGUAGGGGAGAACGGAAUUCCCGGUGUAGCGGUGAAAUGCGCAGAUAUCGGGAGGAACACCGGUGGCGAAGGCGGUUCUCUGGGCCUGUACUGACGCUGAGGAGCGAAAGCGUGGGGAGCGAACAGG
rnacentral:rRNA from 1 species